AUUUUGCGUGCUAGCGUUAUCGUCGGGGAUAGGGGUUCUGUUCGUACCGGAAACACACAAUGAAAAGCUCCCGGAAACAAUAGAAGAAGCGGAAGUAUUCGGACGGAACAAGAGCAUGUUUGACUUUUCUCUCAAGAGAACGCCUUACGUGAGACCGACGACAGAAGA